rnacentral:rRNA from 1 species
UCAGUAACACGUAGUCACAUGCCCAGGGGACGUGGAUAACCUCGGGAAACUGAGGAUAAACCGCGAUAAGUCACUACUUCUGGAAUGGGUAAUGACUCAAACCUAUAUGGCCCCUGGAUUGGACUGCGGCCGAUCAGGCUGUUGGUGAGGUAAUGGCCCACCAAACCUGUAACCGGUACGGGCUCUGAGAGGAGGAGCCCGGAGAUGGGCACUGAGACAAGGGCCCAGGCCCUAUGGGGCGCAGCAGGCGCGAAACCUCUGCAAUAGGCGAAAGCUUGACAGGGUUACUCUGAGUGAUUUCCGUUAAGGAGAUCUUUUGGCACCUCUAAAAAUGGUGCAGAAUAAGGGGUGGGCAAGU